CUACCUGUCUUUUCAUCCCGUCAUGCUACCUUGAAUUUGUUUGGUACCAAGUCUUUAGAAAUUCCUGCCUUGAAUAUGUGCACUGGAUAUUAAAGAGAGGUUAUACCCGGGGCUCCACCAUGCCAUUAGUUAAACUUCUGCACUGGCCAGAAGUGGAGAAGGGGCAGCUGGGCGGUCAGGACCAGGCUGUCAGGUUCUUGGGAGAUGCGUUCAUGGAGAGGAAAAUCUUUGACACACUGCAUCCUGUGUUGUGUGGAUGCUUUAGUCAGCUGGAGAAGAUGAACCGAAAGGAGCCACUUACCUCAAUCAGAUCGGUUAACCGAGGGACAGAGGGUUCAUGUGAGAAACUGAUGUUUGCUGUGCAUGGUAUCCUGAAAGGAAGGAGAUGUGGUGGCAACUUUGUCCACAAAUCUUGAAGUCCCAGCACUUCAGUCUAGUGCAAUGCUUCAGACUUUGAAGAAAUACAGAGGAAAGGCAAGUGUCAGCAGUGGCCUGAAGAUGGGGAUGGAGAGAUCAUAAAAUGCUGGCAGAGGGAGCUACCAGGAAAUCCUGAAAAUGUACCCAGCCUGUACCUUGCUGCAUAUCGUUUUGUGUGUUCAAAAAAUAAAAUAAAAUAGAAAUAAUUUAAAAAGUAAAGUCCUGAUUUUAUCACCUGCAGUCUGGCUGA